rnacentral:rRNA from 1 species
UACGUAGGGGGGCUAGCGUUGUCCGGAAUCAUUGGGCGUAAAGAGCGCGUAGGCGGCUAGAUAAGUCCGGUGUGAAAGUCACAGGCUCAACCUGUGAAUGCCGCUGGAAACUGUCUGGCUAGAGUCCGGAAGGGGCGAGUGGAAUUCCUGGUGUAGCGGUGAAAUGCGUAGAGAUCAUGAGGAAGACCAGUGGCGAAGGCGGGUCUCUGGACAGUUCCUGACACUGAGACACGAAGGCCAGGGGAGCAAACGGG